GGUUCGUCGCUGUAGGUUCUCGCCGCCUCCGGCGAUUUGGACAGGUGGCGCCUCUGUCGCAGCAGGCGUCGCCGGAACCACAGCAAGCGGCAGUCGCAAGUCCACGGGGUGCCUCGCAGCGAGAAAGAGCCUGCAGAGCGAGAAACGUGGCGGACUCGCUUUGGGAGUCACCAGACACCUCAGUCUAGGCCGACUUGGAACAAGACAAAGUGAACCAAGACCGCUCCCCCGAACUGGUUCCGUACGCACGACGAAGGUCCGCCACCACUUCACUCGCGGACAGACGGACACCCACGCCUCUUACGCAAAGUAGGUGCAUCCUUUUCGUCACCAGACGACAGCCUUCUCCGCC